rnacentral:lncRNA from 1 species
CUCAGCCCACUUGCAUCCGAGUGAAUAAACAGCCUUGCUGCUUACACAAAGCCUGUUUAGGUGGUCUUCUAUAUGGACACGCAUGACAAUAUUUACAACAAAUACCAAGGAAGAGCUAAGAGCACAUAGCAUUUCCCAGGCUUAUUAGACUGUGGGAUCAACCUCUUUAAGAAAGCAUUUUGCAGAAUUGUUGUUCACAGGUCAUUCUGCAGUGUGAAGUUUUUUUUGCAAUAAGAUCCUUACUCUAGAGUUAACUUCACUAGGAAGUACACUCUGGGUGUUUACCUUUAGAGCUUCAGUUUCUACAAGAAUUUGGCACCGGUUGGGUCUUGUAGAAAUAUUUACUGCAUGGAGUUGAAAGAAGAGUCUGGACUGGGAGAAGGAUGUAUGGAUAAAGAACAAGGGGUUCUUUUCAGAAAACCAAGCAGCUACUGGAUACUGACCUUAUUCUAAAGGCCAACAGAAGUGGAAUAAGGUGCAAUUUGGAAUUCAAUCAAUAUUGAAGGAUGACGGUGACCUUUGGGAAAUAGGAUUCAGCGAUGUCUUUUUAAAUUCUGUUAUUUGUACAUAACGCACUCUUACAGAUUUUUUAAAAAAUCCAAUUCCACAUGAAAAACUUUUACACUGAAUUUAUUACAUUUUUAAAAAUACAUAAACUCAGACUUUAUUU